GUGCUUCUUCCUUCAGCUUGGAAUGAAGAAAACCCUAACCAGACAUUGUCCUUGCAUCUUGGACUGCCCAGCCUCCAGACUGUCACUCUCCCACCACAGCAUCCAGACCAAGCCAGAGGGAAAAUCACCUGACUGAUGAAAAAAAUGGAAGGAGUACUUGUGAACCUUGGAGGUGGUCCUAAUUGCAAGACCAGCUGGAAAAGAUAGCCCCAAAUAAAUUUCAGUCAUACAGGAAUUUAAAAGAAAAGGAUACCUUCCUUUCCCAAUGUGGGAUUUUCUGCUAAUUUAUUGUAACAUCAUCAUGUCCUUAAAGCAUCAAACUUGAUGGUCAAAUUAUAUUCAUCAGUAUCUUAGGCAACAACCACAUGUGUAAACUAUAGACGAUGAUAUCAUUGGUGACUCAAUAUAAUUACACCCUUGCUUGUGAA